rnacentral:rRNA from 1 species
CUUGCAGGGUACUCGAGUGGCGAACGGGUGAGUAACACGUGGGUGAUCUGCCCUGCACUUCGGGAUAAGCUUGGGAAACUGGGUCUAAUACCGGAUAGGAACCAUCUUUAGUGUGGUGGUUGGAAAGUUUUUUCGGUGUAGGAUGAGCUCGCGGCCUAUCAGCUUGUUGGUGGGGUAAUGGCCUACCAAGGCGGCGACGGGUAGCCGGCCUGAGAGGGUGUACGGCCACAUUGGGACUGAGAUACGGCCCAGACUCCUACGGGAGGCAGCAGUGGGGAAUAUUGCACAAUGGGCGCAAGCCUGAUGCAGCGACGCCGCGUGGGGGAUGAAGGCCUUCGGGUUGUAAACUCCUUUCGCUAGGGACGAAGCUUUUUUGUGACGGUACCUAGAUAAGAAGCACCGGCUAACUAC